CCUACGGGAGGCUGCAGUGGGGAAUAUUGGACAAUGGGGGGAACCCUGAUCCAGCCAUGCCGCGUGUGUGAAGAAGGCCCUCGGGUUGUAAAGCACUUUCAGUGAGGAAGAACGCCUGGUGGUUAAUACCCAUCAGGAAAGACAUCACUCACAGAAGAAGCACCGGCUAACUCCGUGCCAACAGCCGCGGUAAUACGGAGGGUGCGAGCGUUAAUCGGAAUUACUGGGCGUAAAGCGCGCGUAGGUGGCUUGAUAAGCCGGUUGUGAAAGCCCCGGGCUCAACCUGGGAACGGCAUCCGGAACUGUCAAGCUAGAGUGCAGGAGAGGAAGGUAGAAUUCCCGGUGUAGCGGUGAAAUGCGUAGAGAUCGGGAGGAAUACCAGUGGCGAAGGCGGCCUUCUGGACUGACACUGACACUGAGGUGCGAAAGCGUGGGUAGCAAACAGGAUUAGAUACCCCUGUAGUC
rnacentral:rRNA from 1 species